ACCCAGGCGUCCCUGCUUUGUGUAUUUUAAAUUGCAGGACCAGACGUCUCCACGGAGGCAAAGAAACCCCAGAGCGCACGCAAGGCGGCUUUUGUAAAUGCCACCCAGUGGUGCCUUCUUCAGUUCUGUGUCCAGAACCACCCCCCCUUGGUUUCUGUCCUCGCGGAUUCCGACCAUCUACAGUUAAGUAAGGCAGAGACUUUGAGAACCUCUUCCCCAUCCCCAGGUCAGGUCUACGACGAGUCUUAUUCCCUGGAUCCUACAUCCAGGGUAUUUGGUAUCUCCUUGGAAACAGCCCUCGAUGCCGGGGUUCCCCCAACUCCAGCCACAUUGACUUCUUCUGCACAAAUUCCAGACUCUCGUUUACUUUAAGAAUCCCAAACUGUUCGGCCAACCAUCACACAUCCCCCUCAGUUCUUGUUAAUCUUCUCGCCUGGUAGACUGAGCUUUGUUUUUUUUGUUUGUUUGUUUGGUUUGGUUUGGUUUAGGCUUUGGUUUUGAUUUCCUGCCAUCCGAGAGCUGGGAUUUUUCUCAAAACCAAGGCCACAGUGUUACCCAUGCAUCUGGACAUCAGGUUUCCCCCACGUCUGUUGUGGCAGCAGCUAAAAUAAAGCCUUGUUUCACUGCUUCC